GAUGAACGCUGGCGGCGUGCUUAACACAUGCAAGUCGAACGAUGAAGCCCAGCUUGCUGGGUGGAUUAGUGGCGAACGGGUGAGUAACACGUGAGUAACCUGCCCUUGACUCUGGGAUAAGCCUGGGAAACUGGGUCUAAUACUGGAUAUGACCUCUCAUCGCAUGGUGGGGGGUGGAAAGAUUUAUUGGUCUUGGAUGGACUCGCGGCCUAUCAGCUUGUUGGUGAGGUAAUGGCUCACCAAGGCGACGACGGGUAGCCGGCCUGAGAGGGUGACCGGCCACACUGGGACUGAGACACGGCCCAGACUCCUACGGGAGGCAGCAGUGGGGAAUAUUGCACAAUGGGCGCAAGCCUGAUGCAGCGACGCCGCGUGAGGGAUGACGGCCUCCGGGUUGUAAACCUCUUUCAGUAGGGAAGAAGCGAGAGUGACGGUACCUGCAGAAGAAGCGCCGGCUAACUACGUG
rnacentral:rRNA from 1 species